rnacentral:rRNA from 1 species
AUUAAACGCUGGUGGCAUGCCUUACACAUGCAAGUCGAACGGCGGCACGGGGCAACCUGGUGGCGAGUGGCGAACGGGUGAGUAAAGCAUCGGAACGUGCCCUGGAGUGGGGGAUAACGUAGCGAAAGUUACGCUAAUACCGCAUAUUCUGUGAGCAGGAAAGCAGGGGAUCGCAAGACCUUGCGCUCUGGGAGCGGCCGAUGUCAGAUUAGCUAGUUGGUGAGGUAAAGGCUUACCAAGGCGACGAUCUGUAGCGGGUCUGAGAGGAUGAUCCGCCACACUGGAACUGAGACACGGUCCAGACUCCUACGGGAGGCAGCAGUGGGGAAUUUUGGGACAAUGGGCGCAAGCCUGAUCCAGCCAUGCCGCGUGAGUGAAGAAGGCCU